GAUGAACGCUGGCGGCGUGCCUAAUACAUGCAAGUCGAACGCAUAGCGAAAGGUGCUUGCCCCUUUCAAGUGAGUGGCGAACGGGUGAGUAACACGUGGACAACCUGCCUCAAGGCUGGGGAUAACAUUUGGAAACAGAUGCUAAUACCGAAUAAAACUUAGUGUCGCAUGACACAAAGUUAAAAGGCGCUUCGGCGUCACCUAGAGAUGGAUCCGCGGUGCAUUAGUUAGUUGGUGGGGUAAAGGCCUACCAAGACAAUGAUGCAUAGCCGAGUUGAGAGACUGAUCGGCCACAUUGGGACUGAGACACGGCCCAAACUCCUACGGGAGGCUGCAGUAGGGAAUCUUCCACAAUGGGCGAAAGCCUGAUGGAGCAACGCCGCGUGUGUGAUGAAGGCUUUCGGGUCGUAAGGCACUGUUGUAUGGGAAGAACAGCUAGAAUAGGAAAUGAUUUUAGUUUGACGGUACCAUACCAGAAAGGGACGGCUAAAUACGUG
rnacentral:rRNA from 1 species